GCCAGUGUGGUGUAGUGGUUUGAAUAUUGGACUAUGACUCUGGAGACUAGGCUUCAAAUCUCUGCUCAGCUA